rnacentral:rRNA from 1 species
UCCUACGGGAGGCAGCAGUAGGGAAUCUUCCGCAAUGGACGAAAGUCUGACGGAGCAACGCCGCGUGAGUGAUGAAGGCUUUCGGGUCGUAAAACUCUGUUGUUAGGGAAGAACAUGUGCUAGUUGAAUAAGCUGGCACCUUGACGGUACCUAACCAGAAAGCCACGGCUAACUACGUGCCAGCAGCCGCGGUAAUACGUAGGUGGCAAGCGUUAUCCGGAAUUAUUGGGCGUAAAGCGCGCGCAGGUGGUUUCUUAAGUCUGAUGUGAAAGCCCACGGCUCAACCGUGGAGGGUCAUUGGAAACUGGGAGACUUGAGUGCAGAAGAGGAAAGUGGAAUUCCAUGUGUAGCGGUGAAAUGCGUAGAGAUAUGGAGGAACACCAGUGGCGAAGGCGACUUUCUGGUCUGUAACUGACACUGAGGCGCGAAAGCGUGGGGAGCAAACAGGAUUAGAUACCCUGGUAGUCCACGCCGUAAACGAUGAGUGCUAAGUGUUAGAGGGUUUCCGCCCUUUAGUGCUGAAGUUAACGCAUUAAGCACUCCGCCUGGGGAGUACGGCCGCAAGGCUGAAACUCAAAGG